rnacentral:rRNA from 1 species
AUGCCAUCGUGGAUGGAACUGUGGAAUGAGUGGGAGAUCCAAGUUGUUGUUGUUGCUAGCUUCAGUCUGCAGGUUAUCCUCUUCUUCUUUGCUGGGAUCCGCCGCUACAGUCUCUCGUUUGUUCUCAAGUCCCUCCUCUGGCUGGUGUAUCUGCUUGCUGAUCUCGCUGCGACGUACGCCCUGGGGCACAUGUCCUCGACGUUGUCGAAAAAAUCGUCCGGCGAGCACCAGCUGGUGGCGUUCUGGGCACCGUUCCUCCUCCUGCACCUUGGCGGCCAGGACACCAUCACCGCGUACGCCCUGGAGGACAAUGAACUCUGGCUGCGCCACCUGCUAAACAUGUUUCUGCAGGUCGCUGGCGCCGGGUAUGUGCUCUACAAGUACAUCACCGCAGGCAGGGGGGCCUUUGUCCCUGCUGCUAUGUUAAUUCUGGCCGCCGGAGUUAUCAAGUACGGAGAGAGGAUAUGGGCACUGAAGCUUGCAAGCAAGGGUGGUUCCCAUUACAGAAGGUCACCAUGUACUACUUCUCGAUCAACGAUGAUCUAUAAAAAAAUUCGUAAGUAUUUUCCAGAGAAGCCUAAGGAAGAUGCGGACCUGGACAUAUUUGUGAGGUGGACCAGUGCAACAUACUGGUUCACCAAAAGCAAGCGGUUCAGGAAUUAUGCAUCUAUUGUGAGGACAGCACAUGAGUUGCGGUAUGCGCUUGUCAAGCCUUUAAUCAUAGACAGGAAUGAGGCAUCCAUAGAAUGGGAUCGUCCCGGAAUAAGGCUACUAACAUCUCAGGCAUUUGCACGGCGGAAGACGCGUAUUGGGGAGGUGUACAAGGCAAUCGAGGUGGAGCUCGGCCUGAUGUAUGACAUGCUGUACACCAAGGCAGAAGUCAUCCACACAUCAUAUGGCUACUUCACCCGUGCCAUUUCACUUGUGUCUUGCUUCGCCGCUCUGGUGGUCUUCACAAGAAUCAAGAGAGAUGACUACAACACACCUGACGUUGUUAUCACUUUUGCUCUCCUGGGCGGAGCUUGCGCACUGGAGACUGCAUCAGUUUUGAAGGUGAUCGGCUCAACCUGGACAUAUGCAGUCUUGAAAGGCGCAUGGGGAGGGAGCCUGCUGGCCGAUGUGGUUCUGUUUGCACGGUACCACCUCGUUGUCGUCAAGGAUGGAAGGUGGUCCAAUUCCGUCGGGCAAUUUGACUUUAUAUAUUUCUGUUAUCAGAGCAACAAGAACGACCUCAAGGGAAGAAUAGCCCGUUUGAUUAGGCUUCGGGACAUGUGGGACAAAGCUCGCAGCACCAAACGUGCCAAGCUUUCACCUGCCGUGAAGGAGUUCAUAUGGGACUUGCUCAGAGGUGAGAAGAGUCAUAUGGUACAAAUUGAAGACGUAGCCAUCCAGAGUGGGUACUGGGCUCGCAGGUUCAGGGGCUUCGACCACACUGAACACCUCGAUUGGAGCAUGAGUUUUGAAUUUCAGAAGAGUGUGCUUAUCUGGCAUAUAGCCACAAGGAUCUUCCUGAAUGACCCUGCCGUGAAAUCAAAGCUGGUCAACAAGGACAAGGACAUGGCUGAAGCAGUGCAUACUCUCUCAAAUUACAUGAUGUACCUCCUCAUUGAGCACCCUGGCAUGCUGCCCGUCAACGCAGCUGCUCGAGACCUGUUUCGCCAAACCUGCACCAGUUACAUACAAGGAUCCACUAGUGCAGUUAAACUUGAGUCGUGGAUAACUAGGCUUUACGAGGAAGGGACUCAUCAGGGGAUAAGUGAACUAUGUCGUGACUUGACGCAAGCCAGUUGGGAUGCUUCCCCGGGCGAAGCUAUGCUGGUGAAAUCAUGGGUCCUUGCUCACAUAAUGCUCGACAUGGAGCUGGGGCUCACACAUAAGAUUGUAAUAAUUGGAGCAGCGUGGACCGAAAUGUUGUGCUACGCAGCAACCAAUGCAACUGAGCAAUUCCACGGCAGACAGCUGAGCAAUGGUGGUGAGUUUCUGACUCACAUCUUGCUCCUCAAUAAAUAUUGUGCUCCUAUAGACGAGAAACCAAAGGCGCCCAAAGCAGUUGAUGAACCGUCCAGUUUCUGGCUCUAG